rnacentral:lncRNA from 1 species
AAGAGGGAAAAGUACCACUGCAAUCUACAGAGGCAGGUUCAGAAUUUGGAAAUUCAGGUUUCCUGGAGAAUCCCUCGGGCGGAAGUUCACACCUCUGGCAAAGGCCUCAUGACACUAUGGAAAGCUCACAGGUUUCGGUUCUUAUUCUGCGGUGAUCUGUCAGACGCUGGACAGCAUUGCAGCAAGAGCCUAUGACAGAGUCUUUUUCCAUCCUGAAGUCAGGAUCCACUGGAUAAAGUUUAUCAAGAGGACUUCGUCUUCUUAGUAUGUGAUUUCCAGAAAUGUGGACAUUGAAGGAGAGCACAUAUCCUCUUAACAUUUUCAACUGUGAUGCUCUUCCAAUUGCACCCACAGCUCCCUGUCCCUUGCCACUCCAGUCUAUUCUCCACAAUGCAGAUCAAAGUAUCUCUGCAAAAUGCAAAUCUGAUUAUGUCUCUUCCCUAUUGAAAAUGGCUUAAAAGUCCCCCAUUGCUCUUAGGAUGAAGUCCAAAUUCCUUAUUUUGGCUUACAAGCCAAAAUCCAGCCCUGGAUCCAGUCCUGGCUUACCUCUCUAAUUGUUUUUUAACUUUACCACCUACCACCUACCACCAGCACACAUCUCCUCUGCUUUCCAACUAUAUCGAAAAGCACUUAAUUCCGUUUGCUCUCUUGUCUCUGUCUUCGGCAUUUUGUUCCCUCCUCUCCUGCUCCCCACAUACUCUUAAUGUAGACUUUAUUUCAUAAACACAUAUGCUCCUGUUUGCACAAACUCAUGUAAGAUUACGUGUUUCAGGUGGUAUAAAGAAUAAGAUUUAACUGCUACUAUUAUACACUACAAAUUCUGUAGUGAUACUACACACCAGCAUGUAACUUGGAAAUCUAAAUACUGUCAAAUUUUUGUCUUGAUGACCACCUUCUUCCCCUUCACCAAGUGAGUUGGAAUGUUUGAUGUUAGAAAAUAAAUUCUAUUUCAAAUCAAAGGCAACUCUAUUAUGGUAGAGUGCUCUGGCCUCCUCUCUGGAUGCCUUCCAUUGUUCACUAAUGAGAUAAAAUGUGGUUGCCCCA